rnacentral:rRNA from 1 species
GUUUCCGUAGGUGAACCUGCGGAAGGAUCAUUAUUGAAUGAAUGUAGAGUUGGUUGUCGCUGGCCUUUGUUGGCAUGUGCACGCCUUCUCUUUCAUCCACACACACCUGUGCACCUGUAGACGGGGAGAGCUCGCCCUUUUGCGAGGAUGUUUUCUCUCCGUCUGCCAUUACACAAACUCAUUGUAUUUAAUUUGAAUGUAAUUGAUGUAACGCAUCUAUAAACUAAGUUUCAACAACGGAUCUCUUGGCUCUCGCAUCGAUGAAGAACGCAGCGAAAUGCGAUAAGUAAUGUGAAUUGCAGAAUUCAGUGAAUCAUCGAAUCUUUGAACGCACCUUGCGCUCCUUGGUAUUCCUUGGAGCAUGCCUGUUUGAGUAUCAUGAAAUUAUCAAAACAAACCUUUUGUUAAUUCGAUUGGUUUUUUGUUUUGGACUUGGAGGUCUUUUUUGCGGAUUCACGUCUGCUCCUCCUAAAAAUAUUAGCUGGAUCUCAGUGAGCUCGGUUCCACUCGGCGUGAUAAGUAUCAUUCGCUGAGGACACCCGUAAAAAAGGUGGCCGGGAACGCAGAUGAACCGCUUCCAAUAGUCCAUUAAAUUGGACAACACACUUUAUGAU